CUCCUCUCUGUUGAAGCUGUUACGGUGACAGUGUCAGUUGGGUUUCUCUGAGUUACAGUCGGAGAGGUCGGUGACCUGGAUUUCUAACAGGACAUAUAUCAGGAUUAUUCUGCUUACUUCUGUUUUACAUGAAGUGCUUUGAUUUACAUCUGAUUCCAGCUCAGAGCAUUGACACAUCAGUCCAUUCUUGUUAUAUUCAUCAUGAUGAGGAGAAGAAACUCUGAGGAAUCUCCAGAACUCCUGACAUCAGAAGAAAUUAUUGACUGUAAAAAAGAUGGACGAUGCGACACCACCUCCUACCAUUGUGCAAAAAUAAAGCCAAAAUACCCCGCUUGUGGAGGCUGCCAUCUUGCAAAUUUGGAGCCAGAGUCUGCGCAGUAGUGACUUGAGGUGGAGCGACUGUGUAACACUCCCGCCCACACACCUGCUGGACGUGACCGCAAACACGCCUCCCUACACUUUUUACUAGCCCGGCUGCUCGAGUUUUUUUGCUGGUUUACCGCGACUGACGACUCGUUUAAUUAAGCUACAUUCACCCUGGACAGAAACUAGUGAGGGAGACCAUGAGGACUAAGCUGGGUUUCCUGGGUCCAGAGGUUUGGAGAAACUUCUUCCUUUUCUUUCAUCACAGCUGUCCUGUGCCAGAUAUUCUGUUGACCCGCUGUAAGAGGCAUCAUUUAAGAAACACCAGGAACACUGAAGCUCAUCGCAUUGAUCAAGCAGGACUCAUGAUCUUCACCAGCAGCUCCCCCACAGGGAAAUCUUCAGCACUCCUCCGUAGGCCCACCCCAGGAGAUGGAUAAACCCAGCAUUUCAUGAACACUGUGAUGGAGACCUUUGGUUUGUGUAAUGUUAUAAAUACUCGGAUACUCCCCAGAGGCUCCAGACUUUUACAUAAACAUAAUAUAUUCAGUCCUGUAGAAAGUUAUAUUUAAAAAUAUAUGAUCCUCUCUGGUUACUCUGGUAUGAAUAACUCUGAAUCACUUUAUGGUAAAUAACACACUAUCUGCAAAAAACUGUGAAAGAAUUCCAGAUGACAAGUUUGUAGUUUAACAUACAAGUGACGACCUUUGACCUUCAUCAGGUUUUAUUAAAUUGUGUUAGAGAAAAUCUCAUAUGCUCUUCAUGCAGCUGAGUACAUCAAGUGUUUAAAACGGAAGCUGUGCAGGUCUGAGAGCAGCAGCUUUGUGAAACACCAAACUGAGGUUCUGUUAAUGCUGAUAUAUAGUGACACAGUUACAUGAGUGAUUAAUCCUUUGAUUUUUUGUCUUUAACUUUAUCAUUAAAGCUGCAGCUUUUACUACAGCACGUGUGGUACCUUUGCACUGUUUUCAUCAGUUCAUUUUGCAGUUAACAUGUGAACAUGUUGGAUGAUCUGUCUACUGUCACUUGGUGGUGCUGAGGUCUGAAUCUGAGGGCAGCUCCUGUAAUCACAAAGAGAACAGAACCAUCAAACUCAGAUAUAAAUUUUAUCCCUCAAAAUUGAAAUAAAGCAGAUUCUUCUGUCCUCAC